AUUGAACGCUGGCGGCAGGCCUAACACAUGCAAGUCGAACGAGUGGCGGACGGGUGAGUAAAGUCUGGGAAACAGCCCGAUGGAGGGGGAUAACUACUGGAAACGGUAGCUAAUACCGCAUACCACAGGAGGUGCCCAGAUGGGAUGAGCUUGUAGGGGAGGUAACGGCGCACCAAGUCGACGAUCCCUAGCUGGUCUGAGAGGAUGACCAGCCACACUGGAACGGAGACACGGUCCAGACUCCGACGGGAGGCAGCAGUGGGGAAUAUUGGAACAUGGGCGAAAGCCUGAUCCAGCCAUGUCGCGUGUUUGAAGAAGGUCUUCGGAUUGUAAAGCACUUGCAGGUGGGAGGCGUUACCAACAGAAUAAGCACCGGCUAACUCCGUGCCAGCCGCCGCGGUAAUUC
rnacentral:rRNA from 1 species